CCUACGGGGGGCUGCAGCAACGAAUCUUCCCCAAUGCCGGAAACGGUGAGGGAGCGACGCCGCGUGAAGGAUGAAGUCCUUCGGGAUGUAAACUUCUUUUAGGGUUACGAAAGCGAAGGGACCUAAUACGUCCUGAGUUGAUCUAGCCCAGAAUAAGGGGCGGCUAACUCUGUGCCAGCAGCCGCGGUAAUACAGAGGCCCCAAGCGUUACUGAGAAUCACUGGGUUUAAAGGGUGCGUAGGUGGUCCGUUAAGUCAGUUGUGAAAUCCCCGGGCUCAACCCGGGAACUGCUUCUGAUACUGGCGGACUUGAGGCCGGUAGGGGUCACUGGAACUGACGGUGGAGCGGUGAAAUGCGUAGAUAUCGUCAGGAACGCCUGUGGUGAAGACGGGUGACUGGGCCGGAUCUGACACUGAGGCACGAAAGCGUGGGGAGCAAACGGGAUUAGAUACCCUAGUAGUC
rnacentral:rRNA from 1 species